rnacentral:lncRNA from 1 species
UUGGUUUUUUUACUCUAUCACAGCAGAGAUAGCGUUCUCCCUUAGACACAGCCAAAAUUAUCUUAUUUGCCUUUGAGCUUCUGGCUCUUGGUAGAGUUGACACAUAAAAGGUCUCUGGGAAAAGAAAACUGGGUCAGCUCUAGAAUAAAAACCUUAUCCUAUUCCCUCUUCCUUCCUUUUCUCUUUUUCCUGUUGAAGUUUUGGGCAUAGCAAGCUAAGUAAAUCCACACACUCACUUUGAUUUCAGAGCCUAGAACAUUCUAGUUCUCAGAAUCUCCCCUAUCUCCGUCUCUGGCUUUGAUCACCCCCCUGUCUGCAGAGACUUCUUUUUAUUGGAGGGACACCUUUGGUUGCCUCUAUCAUCUCACUGGUUCAUUCUCAUCGUGGGUUCCAAACUCACCCCCAGUUGGUCACCAGACAGUAAAUAGCACUCUCUUCUUUUAAGAGGAGAAGGAACUAAGCAGCCCCCUUUGAGAGGGGCAGGACCAGACGUAGGGCCUGUGGGGGUGCGCUUAUCAUCACCAUUGGGUUAAGAAAAUUUGAGGGGCACCUCCACGUUUGCCUUUCUUGUCUGGAACCGCCACAAGGGUGUUGCCUUCCAGAACUAGAAUCUGCUGGUUUGUGUCACGAAUGAAAUGUUUGUUUGGGGAGGAGGGCUUCAUACUUGCACCUGGAAAACAGUAACAGAAGUUACAAAGAGUGAACCACUCUGAGUCCAGCUAUAAAGCUUUGCUUUAUGCUUCAGGCUCAGACACUAUAUAGUCCUCUUGGUAUAUAUGUAUGUAUGUAUGUAUGUACUUACCUAUCUGUUUUUUACCCCAACUCACUGAUACAGGAACUUUGGACCCUUUGGGUCACUGAGACCAUGCUGACUCAGUAACAAUCACCUCUUUUCAAUCCUUCACAAGUUAAGUUACUAAAUUUCCUCAAGUAUUGCAUUUCAGACCAAUAAAAUGGGACAAGGUAGCCACUUUCAUGGAGUUGUUAUGAAGAUGGAGGCACUGUAAAGGGUUUACUCUAUUUGAAAAGUUAAGAUUUUGAAGUUUCGAAGGAAAGGUGCCACAACACAUAUUGCUCAGAUGUCAUCAGAAAGAGCUGCUGACUUUGUUGAGGAGGCCGAACAACCAACCACCCAUACUUGUCACCCCAGAAUCCCUUGGAAGAUCACCUGAAUGGUUGGAAAGCAUAGCAACAAGGCUGGUAUCUGACAGCAGAGGGCAUUUUGCUGUUGAAUCAAAGACAACAGAUUAGCAAGUCAAUUUCAUUAGCUUGGAAUGUAUAGUUAAUCGCACUAUGGAAUGAUUCCAUUCCUAAUGUCUACAGUUUCUAAAUCCUGAUUAUGAGCAUAUAUGCAGAAGACAUGCAAAUGUGUUUUAAAGAGAUUCUACAUCUGUCAAUGUUGGGAGGUUCCGGUUUCAACCAUGUGAGGUCCAGCAAGGUAUCUAAGUGCAUAAAGGAGCUUGCUAUCAGACCUGGUGACCUGAAUUUGAUCCCUGGGUUUGGUGGUAGGAGAGAACUGAUUCCCAAAAGUUGUCCUCUGACCUCCAUCAAUGCACCAUGGCACCUGUCCUCCUGUUCAAUAAUUUAAUACCAUGUAAAAAAAUAAUUAAAAACCUGUGUUUGCUGAUGAUACAUCUGAGGUCCUGAACUGUAACAUGUCUAUCUCCAUCACUGCCCUUGUCUACCUAAUGUCCUGGAGGAAUUCCUGCAGCUCAGAUGUCUUGCAAGUUGGUCAAAGAACACAUGGCUUCUAUGGGUAGUUUUAAGCACAGUUCCCUGUGAUUGAAGAACACUUUUUGAGGCCUGGAAUAGGUUUGAACAGGUUUCUUACCUUUUGGCUCUGUGUAGGAUUCAGUCUGGUCUCUAUAGCGCUUACGGUAAUUUUUCGCAUCUGAACAGCUUUCUGAAGACAUUGUUGCCUGAGCUGAGAGUGAACACAGUGGAGAGGUAAGGGAAGGCAGGACCAACAUAC